UGAGCUUCCAAUUUGGUUGGAAGAUAUGAUUGUACUUUUCAACAGAUAGGGCGCUCAU
rnacentral:pre_miRNA from 1 species